UGUAAGAAGAUUAAUCGAAGCUGCUAACUUUGAUAAGGGAGUAUAAUUCUUCCACUUCUAA
rnacentral:tRNA from 1 species